AGUGAACGCUGGCGGUAGGCCUAACACAUGCAAGUCGAACGGCAGCACAGUAAGAGCUUGCUCUUACGGGUGGCGAGUGGCGGACGGGUGAGGAAUACAUCGGAAUCUACUUUUUCGUGGGGGAUAACGUAGGGAAACUUACGCUAAUACCGCAUACGACCUACGGGUGAAAGCAGGGGAUCUUCGGACCUUGCGCGAUUGAAUGAGCCGAUGUCGGAUUAGCUAGUUGGCGGGGUAAAGGCCCACCAAGGCGACGAUCCGUAGCUGGUCUGAUAGGAUGAUCAGCCACACUGGAACUGAGACACGGUCCAGACUCCUACGGGAGGCAGCAGUGGGGAAUAUUAGACAAUGGGCGCAAGCCUGAUCCAGCCAUACCGCGUGGGUGAAGAAGGCCUUCGGGUUGUAAAGCCCUUUUGUUGGGAAAGAAAAGCAGCAGGUUAAUACCCCGCUGUUCUGACGGUACCCAAAGAAUAAGCACCGGCUAACUUCGUG
rnacentral:rRNA from 1 species